rnacentral:lncRNA from 1 species
UGUCAAGGUAUACUACCAAGAUUCAAAGUUACAUGAUGCAAAAUACGGCCACAAAAAGUGGAAGAUAAAGGAUAUGGGUGUAAGAAAGGUGAAAUCAAAAGUGGAUCAGCAAAGUCAGAAGGGACAUAUGAUUACAGUUAAAAGGGUUCGAAGGAAAACAUACAGAGGGGAAUCCUAUAGUCAAGGAUCAAUGACAAAGACAAAACAGUCUUUUCAACCAUUCUAAGGCAAUAAAGAGAAACGAAGAGAAACAUCACCAUCGGCAAGAAUACCCCAGUCAACCACCAUGCUUUAAACUAACGAAGUUUUCUUUAAUUUAAAACAGGGGCAAAUACAAUAUUUGUGUCAGGAAAUACCUGGUAAAGAAAUUAAAGAAGUCAGGCGUCCAUCUGGAGAAUGAGGAUGAGAAAAAGAAGAAGUCAGGCGUCCACCUGAAGAAUGAGGAUGAAAAUUACAGAAGUCAGGCGUCCACCUGGAGAAUGAGGACAAAGAGAAGAAGAAGUCAGGCGUCCACCUGGAGAAUGAGGACAAAGAAAAGAAGAAGUCAGGCGUCCACCUGGAGAAUGAGGAUGAAGAAUUAAAGAAGUCAGGCGUCCACCUGGAGAAUGAGGAUAAGAAUUUAAGAAGA